CCUAGUGCAUUUUUAAUUGAAACACACUGUGUCUUCUUGCCUUAAACAGUUAACAUAUAAUCCAGAAUCAUGUUAGGCUGUAUAAAUUGUCAGGUAAACAAAGUCCUGCACAGACAGGUGUUGGAAGUAAUGGCUGGGAUAACUUCAUUCGCUUUCCAACAUGUGAAGCAUCAGGUUGGGUCCAGGUCACUGUGAAGUCUCACCUGAUGGGACCCAUGUCACAAUGACGUUUGCAGCUGUUGGGCUGCCAGCCUGUCAUGCAGUGUGAAUUCAUCCAUUCCAGGACAGUAGAACCACCAGAGUAAAGAGGAGACAGUGACAACUCAGGCAGGGACCGAUGUGAGGAUGAUGGCCAGAGUUGAAACAACUUGGACUUGGAACAAGGACUUGGAAGCAGAAGCUGCACUAAGUAAAACAAGGAGGUGGAAGAAGGCAGGAUCUUAUAAUAAAUCAAUUCUGUCUCCCAUGCUUGGAUUUCUAUGAAAAAAGAAACAUCUAGCUUGAAACACUUCUGUUUUGAGUUUUGGUCUCCAACGGCAAGCCCAAC